UUGGGGGAGCAGCAGAACUGGUCUGUGAUUUAGGUAGUUUCCUGUUGUUGGGGCUCCACCUUUCUCUCGACAGCACGAUACUGCCUUCAUUACUUCAGUUGAAUUCGUCACCAGGUAUA
rnacentral:pre_miRNA from 15 species